UCCGAUGGAUUUCUUUUUUAAAUU
rnacentral:piRNA from 1 species